rnacentral:rRNA from 1 species
UACGUAGGAUGCAAGCGUUGUCCGGAUUUACUGGGCGUAAAGCGUGUGCAGGCGGAUGAUCAGGUAGAUUGUGAAAGCCCCCCGGCUUAACUGGGGAGGGUCAGUCUAAACCGGUCGUCUGGAAGCAGACAGAGGAGUAGGGAAUUCCCGGUGUAGUGGUGAAAAUGCGUAGAUAUCGGGAGGAACACCAGCGGCGAAGGCGCUACUCUGGGUCUGGCUUGACGCUCAGACACGAAGGCGAGGGGGAGCGAACAGG